GUGAAAAGCCUUCAGUUGUGCUCAGAUACUGCCUUCAUUGUUCUGGGCUCAACCGGAGAGGACUUUGGAGGAAAAAAGUCAAAGAUGAGCCUAGAGGGAGAGCCACAGAACUCGAGAGGGUGCACACCGCGAAGGCCGGGGAGGCCAUCUGACCACCCUCCCCUGGCGGGCGGGAGAGGAAAAGCAAGUGGAGCUGCCUGACCCGUGACCUACCUGCGGCGCAGGUCCUCGGCCACAGCCGCCCGGCAGCUGAACAGUUUGUGAACUGAUGCUCCCUUGACAGUGCUGCAGUCUGCGUGAUCCAAGAGCUGAGGAGGAAGUCGAGGCCGACUGCUUCUCCACACCUCACACACAGGAGUUGGAGCAAACAGCAAAAAUCCAUUUCUGGAUUCAUGGCUGGAUCAAGAACCGCACUGGUCAAAGAAAUCUCACAUGUUUGCAUGAAACGGACCUGGGGACCUUCUUCCAACCUCCAACCAACCCCCAACCUCCUUCCCGGUUGCAACCUCUAAGACCAUCUUUUCUUGGCCAUCCUCUGCCUCUGGGACCAGCCAACACUGGUUUUUGUGGUUAGCUCCUUACUGCCCACCAACCUUGAGCUCCUAGAUUCCACAGAAUUAUUCCACCAAAGUGGAGGCUGCUGUCAACCGCUGGGUUAACCUACAUCUGCAGGCUUUCUACACCUACCUCUCUCUGGGCUUCUAUUUUUUGCCACAACGAUGUGGCUCUGGAAGGCAUGGGCCAGCUCUUCUGCCAGGUGACCCAGGGGAAGCAUGAGGGUGCCCAGU